UACGUAGGGUGCAAGCGUUAAUCGGAAUUACUGGGCGUAAAGCGUGCACAGGCGGUUUUGUAAGUCUGUCGUGAAAUCCCCGGGCUCAACCUGGGAAUUGCAUUUGUGACUGCACGGCUAGAGUGUGUCAGAGGGGGGUAGAAUUCCACGUGUAGCAGUGAAAUGCGUAGAGAUGUGGAGGAAUACCGAUGGCGAAGGCAGCCCCCUGGGAUAACACUGAC
rnacentral:rRNA from 1 species